GGCUCGAGGACGAACGCUGGCGGCGUGCUUAACACAUGCAAGUCGAGCGAUGAAGCACUUCGGGUGUGAAUUAGCGGCGAACGGGUGAGGAACACGUGAAGAAUCUGCCUUCAACUCUGGGAUAACUCCGGGAAACCGGGGCUAAUACCGGAUAUGAGCCUUGAUCGCAUGAUCGGGGCUGGAAAGUUUUUCGGUUGAAGAUGACUUCGCGGCCUAUCAGCUUGUUGGUGAGGUAAUGGCUCACCAAGGCGACGACGGGUAGCCGGCCUGAGAGGGCGACCGGCCACACGGGUACUGAGACACGGACCCGACUCCUACGGGAGGCAGCAGUAAGGAAUAUUGGACAAUGGUCGAAAGACUGAUCCAGCCAUCCCGCGUGCAGGAUGACUGCCCUAUGGGUUGUAAACUGCUUUUAUAUGGGAAGAAUAGCAUAGAUUCAUCUGUGUAUGACGGUACCAUAUGAAUAAGCACCGGCUAACUCCGUG
rnacentral:rRNA from 1 species